rnacentral:lncRNA from 1 species
GAGUUGGGAGAGGAAGGAUCCUCAUUAUUCCCUCUUCGCUACCUCCUCUCUACAACCCCAUUCCAAAGCGACUGACCUUCAACAGAAUGUAUUUCUAUAAAGAUAAAAACAACGAAACUCCCAAGACGUCUAUAUUUGGAAUAUACAGGGAAAACUAGGAAUUUAAUAGCUGAGUUCACGUCCUGCCAACAAAACUUAGAAGGAAUCAACAAACUUCAAGUUCAGGCGCAUAUGUGGUACCCUGUGGCCUAGCGAGAAGAUCGCAGAUGACAUGGGAGGCCUUCAUCUUCUGCAUCUGUCCGACCUUUUCAGCUCCUCUUCUGGUCACUCUGUCAAGGGGGCCUGGAACUCCUGAGAAGUGAAAGGACCAGCCCUAUCUCAGAUGGUGCGGGUUUCUUCGCCCUGACCUCUGCCAUGUUUGCUUGGAGCCCCAGAGCUCAUCCUUCAAGGCCUUUUUAAAAAUAGCACAGCCUCUGUCAAGCCUUCUUGAAAAAUUAAAUUUUUUAUUGUAAAAACUUUCAAACAUAUAAAGAAUGUGAAAGAAUAGGCAAUUAUCUGUAUACUCAUCACCCACAUUCAAUAAUUAACAUUUUGCCGUCUUAGCCUCAUCUACCUAUUUCUACUGAAUCAUAUGAAACUCACUUGCAGACAUUGUGAUAUAGAACACCAAAAUCCAUAAACAUGUGUCGCCUAAACAUGCGUCUUUUAUUUAACUACAAUAUCAUGAACAAAACUAAAA